rnacentral:rRNA from 1 species
CUUUGUGGCUGCACUUCCUUGUCAAAGCCUGAUCUCGUCUGAUCUCAGAAGCUAAGCAAGGCCGGGCCUGCUCAGUACUUGGAUGGGAGACCGUUGGGGAGCCAGUGUCACAGUGG